GACGAACGCUGGCGGCGUGCUUAACACAUGCAAGUCGAACGGAAAGGCCCUGCUUUUGUGGGGUGCUCGAGUGGCGAACGGGUGAGUAACACGUGAGUAACCUGCCCUUGACUUUGGGAUAACUUCAGGAAACUGGGGCUAAUACCGGAUAGGAGCUCCUGCUGCAUGGUGGGGGUUGGAAAGUUUCGGCGGUUGGGGAUGGACUCGCGGCUUAUCAGCUUGUUGGUGGGGUAGUGGCUUACCAAGGCUUUGACGGGUAGCCGGCCUGAGAGGGUGACCGGCCACAUUGGGACUGAGAUACGGCCCAGACUCCUACGGGAGGCAGCAGUGGGGAAUAUUGCACAAUGGGCGGAAGCCUGAUGCAGCAACGCCGCGUGCGGGAUGACGGCCUUCGGGUUGUAAACCGCUUUCGCCUGUGACGAAGCGUGAGUGACGGUAAUGGGUAAAGAAGCACCGGCUAACUACGUGCCAGCAGCCGCGGUGAUACGUAGGGUGCGAGCGUUGUCCGGAUUUAUUGGGCGUAAAGGGCUCGUAGGUGGUUGAUCGCGUCGGAAGUGUAGUCUUGGGGCUUAACCCUGAGCGUGCUUUCGAUACGGGUUGACUUGAGGAAGGUAGGGGAGAAUGGAAUUCCUGGUGGAGCGGUGGAAUGCGCAGAUAUCAGGAGGAACACCAGUGGCGAAGGCGGUUCUCUGGGCCUUUCCUGACGCUGAGGAGCGAAAGCGUGGGGAGCGAACAGGCUUAGAUACCCUGGUAGUCCACGCUGUAAACGGUGGGUACUAGGUGUGGGGUCCAUUCCACGGGUUCCGUGCCGUAGCUAACGCUUUAAGUACCCCGCCUGGGGAGUACGGCCGCAAGGCUAAAACUCAAAGGAAUUGACGGGGCCCCGCACAAGCGGCGGAGCAUGCGGAUUAAUUCGAUGCAACGCGUAGAACCUUACCUGGGUUUGACAUGGAUCGGGAGUGCUCAGAGAUGGGUGUGCCUCUUUUGGGGUCGGUUCACAGGUGGUGCAUGGCUGUCGUCAGCUCGUGUCGUGAGAUGUUGGGUUAAGUCCCGCAACGAGCGCAACCCUUGUUCACUGUUGCCAGCACGUUAUGGUGGGGACUCAGUGGAGACCGCCGGGGUCAACUCGGAGGAAGGUGGGGAUGACGUCAAGUCAUCAUGCCCCUUAUGUCCAGGGCUUCACGCAUGCUACAAUGGCUGGUACAGAGAGUGGCGAGCCUGUGAGGGUGAGCGAAUCUCGGAAAGCCGGUCUCAGUUCGGAUUGGGGUCUGCAACUCGACCUCAUGAAGUCGGAGUCGCUAGUAAUCGCAGAUCAGCAACGCUGCGGUGAAUACGUUCCCGGGGCU
rnacentral:rRNA from 1 species